rnacentral:rRNA from 1 species
GACGAACGCUGGCGGCGUGCUUAACACAUGCAAGUCGAACGGAAAGGCCCUGCUUUUGUGAGGUGCUCGAGUGGCGAACGGGUGAGUAACACGUGAGUAACCUGCCCUUGACUUUGGGAUAACUUCAGGAAACUGGGGCUAAUACCGGAUAGGAGCUCCUGCUGCAUGGUGGGGGUUGGAAAGUUUCGGCGGUUGGGGAUGGACUCGCGGCUUAUCAGCUUGUUGGUGGGGUAGUGGCUUACCAAGGCUUUGACGGGUAGCCGGCCUGAGAGGGUGACCGGCCACAUUGGGACUGAGAUACGGCCCAGACUUCUACGGGAGGCAGCAGUGGGGAAUAUUGCACAAUGGGCGGAAGCCUGAUGCAGCAACGCCGCGUGCGGGAUGACGGCCUUCGGGUUGUAAACCGCUUUCGCCUGUGACGAAGCGUGAGUGACGGUAAUGGGUAAAGAAGCACCGGCUAACUACGUG